rnacentral:rRNA from 1 species
UUAAGCGACUAAGCGUACACGGUGGAUGCCCUGGCAGUCAGAGGCGAUGAAGGACGUGCUAAUCUGCGAUAAGCGUCGGUAAGGUGAUAUGAACCGUUAUAACCGGCGAUUUCCGAAUGGGGAAACCCAGUGUGAUUCGUCACACUAUCAUUAACUGAAUCCAUAGGUUAAUGAGGCGAACCGGGGGAACUGAAACAUCUAAGUACCCCGAGGAAAAGAAAUCAACCGAGAUUCCCCCAGUAGCGGCGAGCGAACGGGGAGCAGCCCAGAGCCUGAAUCAGUGUGUGUGUUAGUGGAAGCGUCUGGAAAGGCGCGCGAUACAGGGUGACAGCCCCGUACACAAAAAUGCACAUGCUGUGAGCUCGAUGAGUAGGGCGGGACACGUGGUAUCCUGUCUGAAUAUGGGGGGACCAUCCUCCAAGGCUAAAUACUCCUGACUGACCGAUAGUGAACCAGUACCGUGAGGGAAAGGCGAAAAGAACCCCGGCGAGGGGAGUGAAAAAGAACCUGAAACCGUGUACGUACAAGCAGUGGGAGCACAGAGCAAUCUGUGUGACUGCGUACCUUUUGUAUAAUGGGUCAGCGACUUAUAUUCUGUAGCAAGGUUAACCGAAUAGGGGAGCCGAAGGGAAACCGAGUCUUAACUGGGCGUUAAGUUGCAGGGUAUAGACCCGAAACCCGGUGAUCUAGCCAUGGGCAGGUUGAAGGUUGGGUAACACUAACUGGAGGACCGAACCGACUAAUGUUGAAAAAUUAGCGGAUGACUUGUGGCUGGGGGUGAAAGGCCAAUCAAACCGGGAGAUAGCUGGUUCUCCCCGAAAGCUAUUUAGGUAGCGCCUCGUGAAUUCAUCUCCGGGGGUAGAGCACUGUUUCGGCAAGGGGGUCAUCCCGACUUACCAACCCGAUGCAAACUGCGAAUACCGGAGAAUGUUAUCACGGGAGACACACGGCGGGUGCUAACGUCCGUCGUGAAGAGGGAAACAACCCAGACCGCCAGCUAAGGUCCCAAAGUCAUGGUUAAGUGGGAAACGAUGUGGGAAGGCCCAGACAGCCAGGAUGUUGGCUUAGAAGCAGCCAUCAUUUAAAGAAAGCGUAAUAGCUCACUGGUCGAGUCGGCCUGCGCGGAAGAUGUAACGGGGCUAAACCAUGCACCGAAGCUGCGGCAGCGACGCUUAUGCGUUGUUGGGUAGGGGAGCGUUCUGUAAGCCUGUGAAGGUGUACUGUGAGGUAUGCUGGAGGUAUCAGAAGUGCGAAUGCUGACAUAAGUAACGAUAAAGCGGGUGAAAAGCCCGCUCGCCGGAAGACCAAGGGUUCCUGUCCAACGUUAAUCGGGGCAGGGUGAGUCGACCCCUAAGGCGAGGCCGAAAGGCGUAGUCGAUGGGAAACAGGUUAAUAUUCCUGUACUUGGUGUUACUGCGAAGGGGGGACGGAGAAGGCUAUGUUGGCCGGGCGACGGUUGUCCCGGUUUAAGCGUGUAGGCUGGUUUUCCAGGCAAAUCCGGAAAACUAAGGCUGAGGCGUGAUGACGAGGCACUACGGUGCUGAAGCAACAAAUGCCCUGCUUCCAGGAAAAGCCUCUAAGCAUCAGGUAACAUCAAAUCGUACCCCAAACCGACACAGGUGGUCAGGUAGAGAAUACCAAGGCGCUUGAGAGAACUCGGGUGAAGGAACUAGGCAAAAUGGUGCCGUAACUUCGGGAGAAGGCACGCUGAUAUGUAGGUGAAGUCCCUCGCGGAUGGAGCUGAAAUCAGUCGAAGAUACCAGCUGGCUGCAACUGUUUAUUAAAAACACAGCACUGUGCAAACACGAAAGUGGACGUAUACGGUGUGACGCCUGCCCGGUGCCGGAAGGUUAAUUGAUGGGGUUAGCGCAAGCGAAGCUCUUGAUCGAAGCCCCGGUAAACGGCGGCCGUAACUAUAACGGUCCUAAGGUAGCGAAAUUCCUUGUCGGGU